AAUAAGUGGAGACUAGAGACCACUAAAAAAAACGGGACGGAUUCUGAAAAUCCUAAUGAGUAGGAAAAUUA
rnacentral:ncRNA from 1 species